UAUACGACCGUACCGCAAACCGACACUGGUGCGCGAGAUGAGUAUUCUAAGGCGCUUGAGAGAACUCAGGAGAAGGAACUCGGCAAAUUGACACCGUAACUUCGGAAGAAGGUGUGCCCUAUUAGUGUGUAGUGAACAACGAAGCAUGAAUGGGUUGCAAAAAAUCGGUGGCUGCGACUGUUUAUUAAAAACACAGCACUCUGCAAACACGAAAGUGGACGUAUAGGGUGUGACGCCUGCCCGGUGCUGGAAGAUUAAAUGAUGGGGUGCAAGCUCUUGAUUGAAGUCCCAGUAAACGGCGGCCGUAACAAUAACGGUCCUAAGGUAGCGAAAUUCCUUGUCGGGUAAGUUCCGACCUGCACGAAUGGCGUAACGAUGGCCACACUGUCUCCUCCUGAGACUCAGCGAAGUUGAAAUGUUUGUGAUGAUGCAAUCUCCCCGCGGAAAGACGGAAAGACCCCAUGAACCUUUACUGUAGCUUUGUAUUGGACUUUGAACAGAUCUGUGUAGGAUAGGUGGGAGGCUUUGAAGCAGGGUCGCUAGAUCUUGUGGAGCCAACGUUGAAAUACCACCCUGGUGUGUUUGAGGUUCUAACCUAGGUCCAUUAUCUGGAUCGGGGACAGUGCAUGGUAGGCAGUUUGACUGGGGCGGUCUCCUCCCAAAGCGUAACGGAGGAGUUCGAAGGUACGCUAGUUACGGUCGGACAUCGUGACGAUAGUGCAAUGGCAUAAGCGUGCUUAACUGCGAGACUGACAAGUCGAGCAGAUGCGAAAGCAGGACAUAGUGAUCCGGUGGUUCUGUAUGGAAGGGCCAUCGCUCAACGGAUAAAAGGUACUCUGGGGAUAACAGGCUGAUACCGCCCAAGAGUUCAUAUCGACGGCGGUGUUUGGCACCUCGAUGUCGGCUCAUCUCAUCCUGGGGCUGUACCCGGUCCCAAGGGUUUGGCUGUUCGCCAUUUAAAGAGGUACGUGAGCUGGGUUUAAAACGUCGUGAUACAGUUUGGUCCCUAUCUUCCGUGGGCGCUGCAGAUUUGAGGAAGCCUGCUCCUAGUACGAGAGGACCGGAGUGGACACACCUCUGGUGUAUCGGUUGUCACGCCAGUGGCAUUGCCGAGUAGCUAAGUGUGGAAGAGAUAACCGCUGAGAGCAUCAAAGCGGGAAACUCGUUUCAAGAUGAGAUCUGCCGGGGCCUUGAGCCCCCUAAAGAGUCGUUCAAGACCAGGACGUUGAUAGGUCAGGUGUGGAAGCG
rnacentral:rRNA from 1 species